UACGAGGGGGGCAAGCGUUGUUCGGAAUUAUUGGGCGUAAAGGGCGCGUAGGCGGUGCGGUAAGUCACCUGUGAAACCUCUAGGCUCAACCUAGAGCCUGCAGGCGAAACUGCUCUUCUUGAGGGUGACAGAGGGAAGUGGAAUUGCUGGUGUAGCGGUGAAAUGCGUAGAGAUCGGAAAGAACACCAACGGCGAAAGCACUCUGCUGGGCCGACACUGACACUGAGAGACGAAAGCUAGGGGAGCGAAUGGG
rnacentral:rRNA from 1 species